rnacentral:rRNA from 1 species
AACGAACGCUGGCGGCAGGCCUAACACAUGCAAGUCGAGCGAAGCCUUCGGGCUUAGCGGCGGACGGGUGAGUAACGCGUGGGAACGUGCCCUUUCGUACGGAAUAGCCCCGGGACACUGGGAGUAAUACCGUAUGUGGUCGAGAGACGAAAGAUUUAUCGCCAAAGGAUCGGCCCGCGUUGGAUUAGGUAGUUGGGGGGGUAAUGGCCUACCAAGCCGACGAUCCAUAGCUGGUUUGAGAGGAUGAUAAGCCACACUGGGACUGAGACACGGCCCAGACUCCUACGGGAGGCAGCAGUGGGGAAUCUUAGACAAUGGGGGAAACCCUGAUCUAGCCAUGCCGCGUGAUCGAUGAAGGCCUUAGGGUUGUAAAGAUCUUUCAGUGGGGAAGAUAAUGACUGUACCCACAGAAGAAGCCCCGGCUAACUCCGUGCCAGCCGCCGCAGUAAGAC